GAUUGAGUUUCGUUGGAUGAUAAAUGGAUGCCACUCCUUUUAAUUACAUACUUAGUAAUUGCUAGUCACUAGUUGAUGUAUUAAGAAAAUAUAUAUUGGCUUAUAUUAUAAUUGAUAUUUGUAAUAGAAAUUUAGGUGAAGACUUGUAUUAUAAAUAUUUUAGAGAUGGACAUGCAUGGAUUUGGAACUAUAUUUUUAUUGGA
rnacentral:lncRNA from 1 species